GGUGCUGCAUGGCUGUCGUCAGCUCGUGUCGUGAGAUGUUCGGUUAAGUCCGCUAACGAGCGCAACCCUCGCUGUGUGUUACAAGUGUCACACGGAACUGCCGGUCAUAAACCGGAGGAAGGUGGGGAUGACGUCAAGUCAGCAUGGCCUUUAUAUCCUGGGCUACACACACGCUACAAUGGGAAGGGACAAUAGGUUGCGAAACCGCGAGGUGGAGCCAAUCCAGCAAAACUUCCCUCAGUUCAGAUUGCAGGCUGCAACUCGCCUGCAUGAAGUUGGAGUUGCUAGUAAACGCAGGUCAGCCAUACUGCGUUGAAUACGUUCCCGGGGCUU
rnacentral:rRNA from 1 species